GUGGCUUUUAUUCCACGUCUCAAAUAAAUCAACUUGUACAUGAUUUGAUUUGCCCUAAGUGUCUAAACACUGGACUGAAAAUCACCAUAGACUUCACCAACCAGUGAUUCUGUCAUGAUAGAAUGUGCAGACUGAAGGUGAUCGUGAUGCAUUUCGAUGGAGUGUUUACACUUCCUCCAGGCUGCAGGAGUGCUCCAGGGGAGAUGUGGCAUUUUAUAUAAAUGUGAGGAUGGUUCUUCUAGCCCACUAAACUUGGACUUUGUUAUGCAGCUCUAAAUAAUAAGCAAAGGGAUUCCUUCCUUGCUUCUCAGCUCAUAUCAGAGACAUGACAGGAGAAUGAUAGAGAUUCAGAGAGGGAGAGUCAAUGGAGAGUGCUGCAAAGAUAAUUAGAAGAGCAUACGCAGAUAUAGACCCAGACAUAGCAGAGGAUGAGGAUGUCAUCAUAGACAUUAAUGUAUCCUUCGAUGGCACUUGGCAUAAGAAUAGAUUCACUUCCAGCUACGGGAUAGAUGUGUGCAUUGGUGCUGGUACCAGCGAGCCAUAGAAAAUGGUGAAGAUACAAGUAAAUACAAGUAAAACUAAAUGCAUGCUCUUCAACCGAUGGCUGCCUGCACCUGCCCGCCCGUCCAGCAUCACUACUCUGGACGGUUCUGACUUAGAAUAUGUGGACAACUACAAAUACCUAGGUGUCUGGUUAGACUGUAAACUCUCCUUCCAGACUCACAUAAAACAUCUCCAAUCCAAAGUUUAAUCUAGAUUUGGCUUCCUAUUUCGCAACAAAGCAUCCUUCACUCAUGCUGCCAAACAUACCCUCGUAAAACUGACCAUCUUACCGAUCCUCGACUUUGGCGAUGUCAUUUACAAAAUAGCCUCCAACACCCUACUCAAUAAAUUGGAUGCAGUCUAUCACAGUGCCAUCCGUUUUGUCACCAAAGCCCCAUAUACUACCCACCACUGCGACCUGUACGCUCUCGUUGGCUGGCCCUCGCUUCAUACUCGUCGCCAAACCCACUGGCUCCAGGUCAUCUACAAGACCCUGCUAGGUAAAGUCCUGCCUUAUCUCUGCUCGCUGGUCACCAUAGCUGCACCCACCCGUAGCACGCGUUCCAGCAGGUAUAUCUCACUUGUCACCCCCAAAGCCAAUUCCUCCUUUGGCCGCCUCUCCUUCCAGUUCUCUGCUGCCAAUGACUGGAACGAACUACAAAAAUCUCUGAAACGGGAAACACUUUUCUCCCUCACUAGCUUUAAGCACCAGCUGUCAGAGCAGCUCACAGAUCACUGCACCUGUACAUAGCCCAUCUAUAAAUAGCCCAAACAACUACGGCUUCCCCUACUGUAUUUAUUUAUUUAUUUUGCUCCUUUGCACCCCAGUAUUUCUACUUUGCACACUCAUCUACUGUCAAAUCUACCAUUCCAGUGUUUUAAUUGCUAUAUUGUAUUUACUUCGCCACCAUGGCUUAUUUAUUGCCUUUACCUCCCUUAUCUCACC
rnacentral:lncRNA from 1 species